GGGGCUAGCGUUGUUCGGAAUCACUGGGCGUAAAGCGCACGUAGGCGGCUUUUUAAGUCAGUGGUGAAAUCCCGAGGCUCAACCUCGGAACUGCCUUUGAUACUGAGGAUCUGGAGUCCGGGAGAGGUGAGCGGAACUGCGAGUGUAGAGGUGAAAUUCGUAGAUAUCGGGAGGAACACCAGUGGCGAAGGCGGCGACCUGGGCCAAUAUUGACGCUGAGGUGCGAAAGCGUGGGGAGCAAACAGG
rnacentral:rRNA from 1 species